rnacentral:tRNA from 1 species
GGAGAGGUCGCAUAGUGGUCUAGUGCGUUCGCUUGGAAAGCGGAUAUGCUGAAAGGCAUCCAGGGUUCGAAUCCCUGCCUCUCCG